rnacentral:rRNA from 1 species
AGUCGCUAGUAAUCGCGGAUCAGCAACGCCGCGGUGAAUACGUUCCCGGGCCUUGUACACACCGCCCGUCACACCAUGGAAGUCUGCAAUGCCCGAAGCCGGUGGCCUAACCACUUAUGUGGAAGGAGCCGUCUAAGGCAGGGCAGAUGACUGGGGUGAAGUCGUAACAAGGUAUC